CCCUGGGCCCCUCCCCUGACACCUCCCCUUCCCGGGACCGGACCCCCUCCGCUCCCCCGGCGUCCCCCUGGACUACAGGGGCCUCACUGCUGCCUGCCCAGUGCGACUGCGCCCGAGCGUGGACUUUCAGGGACGCCCUCUCCCCCGCCUUGCAGAGACUUUCUGUAGCUCCUCCGCCCCCGGUCCCGCAGCUCCGACGUGGCUGCUGCGGGGGGAGGGGGCCGGGGGAGAGUGGAGGGGCGGCAUAAAGGGCCGGAGGCAGCGCGGGCGGAGACCCGAGAUGUGGCGCGUCCACUCCGCCGGCCUCAGCUCCAGCCACAUGGUUAAACUGCCAACUUAGAGGAGAGAAGCCAGGAGGGGGCUGCAGAGAACAUCACCCAGAAGAGAUCAUGAUGCUGCUGUGGGUCACAAGUGACCUUAAAGGGAAACCUUGUUGUUUGUGAUCCUUACAAUGUGAUGAGAUUAUAUUAAUAUCAUGAAAAACUUCAGCCCAGAAGUUGUGACUCUAGACAUUUACAUCAUAACUGGAUUUUCCUACCAAUGAGGCGGGAACACGUUACAAUCACCAUCAACAUAUGUUCUCUUUUCACCCCUAUUUUCCUUCUUUUAGAUCCAUGGCAUUUAAGAAUUGAAACAACUGCUGGAUCAUCUGAUCAACUCCAUCAGUUUUUUUUCUUAAAAUGGCCAAACAUUGAUGAAAAGAUAUCUGUUUGAGCAUCACUAAAAUUGCUCAAUGCUGCUUUUUGUUCACCAAUUUUAAGUAUUUGGAAGACCCAUGAUUAAGGUUGCAGGUGACAUUGGGAUGCUCCCUAGAAUUUUUACAGAUGAAGAAUCGCUGAGAAAGGAGAGUUCAGUGAGUCAUCAGCUCCUACUCACAUCCCUUGAGCUUCCCCAGAAACUCUUUAGGUUUUUUUUAACCCAAGAAACGCUCACUCCCCUUUUAGUGUAGCAGCCCACUCCCCUGGCAGAGGUAAGCAGACCAGUUUUAUUCAAAAAAAAAGCAGCCCAGAAACUAGGACAGAAUAGAAAGAAUAGUUAUGGCACAUCUGAGAAUGAGCAUGGCAUGGGACAAAGUGCAAUUUUCUGGACCUUAAAUGGAAGGACCAGGUCAACCACGUGGGCACCAGCGCUCUGCCAGUCUGUGCACUGGACAUUCCAUCGUGUCCCCUUCUCUGAAGUCUCAGUUUCCACCCAAGUCCAUCCAGGGCCUGCUUCAAGCUUCCCACGUCUGGUCAGGCGAACAUGCUUUGCCACUGCUGGUUGUUCCAUGCAGGUGAAAACCACCUUCCCAGACCUCACAGCCACGUUCAAGGGAACAGCCUGCUUGAAAUCUGUCUACUGCGGACCUCAGCAAGAACUCAAGGAUACAACAAUCAGAGCAUAUAUUCAACAAGAAAUGCUCACGUAUUUUUUACUUAGAAAAGCUUAGUAAUUAAUCUCACUUUCAGUAAGGGUCUAUUAAUAAAAGAUGUGUUUUACCUCAGCUAUGUAUCCAGAAAACCAAAGUAUUCUAGAAAUCUGAAGUAUUUUUCCUUGUGUUUAUGGUUAAAUGUCUAGAUAUAUUUUCUAG